UACGUAGGGACCAAGCGUUGUUCGGAUUUACUGGGCGUAAAGGGCGCUUAGGCGGCAUGACAAGUCACUUGUGAAAUCUCCGGGCUUAACUCGGAACGGUCAAGUGAUACUGUCGCGCUAGAGUGCGGAAGGGGCAAUCAGAAUUCUUGGUGUAGCGGUGAAAUGCGUAGAUAUCAAGAGGAAUACCUGAGGUGAAGACGGGUUGCUAGGCCGACACUGACGCUGAAGCGCGAAAGCCAGGGGAGCAAACGGG
rnacentral:rRNA from 1 species